rnacentral:rRNA from 1 species
CGAAGCUGCGGCAGCGACACUAUGUGUUGUUGGGUAGGGGAGCGUUCUGUAAGCCUGUGAAGGUGUGUCGUGAGGCAUGCUGGAGGUAUCAGAAGUGCGAAUGCUGACAUAAGUAACGAUAAAGCGGGUGAAAAGCCCGCUCGCCGGAAGACCAAGGGUUCCUGUCCAACGUUAAUCGGGGCAGGGUGAGUCGACCCCUAAGGCGAGGCCGAAAGGCGUAGUCGAUGGGAAACGGGUUAAUAUUCCCGUACUUGGUGUUACUGCGAAG